rnacentral:rRNA from 1 species
AUGAGAUGUAGAGCUUUUGUGUGGAGAGGCGAGGAGGAAAUCAAUGGAGGCCAUUGCCUGGUUCCCUGGGCCCGGGUUUGCAGACCCAAGGAAUGGGGAGGCCUCGGUCUUUUGAACCUGAAAGACUUUGGGAUUGCGCUCCGGUGUCGAUGGCAGUGGCUAAGAUGGGACGCGGAAGAACGCCCGUGGCAAUUAUUUCUGGAUCAGCAAGAUAAGGAUGCCUCUGCUAUCCUUGCGGCUGCAGGUCGAGUGAUUCUGGGGAGAGGUGACACUGCCAGGUUUUGGACUGACAACUGGACUCCGGAAGGGCGUAGCAUUGCCUCGCAGGCACCAGCCUUGUUUUCAUUUGUGAAAGAUUCCAAACUGUCAGUCCGUGAUGCGCUGCACAAUCGAAGAUGGCUUAAGGACAUCCAAGGCGGCUUGACAGUCCAAGCCUUGGUGCAGUACCUAUGGGUCUGGGACAUGGCAGGAGCUACUGUACUUAAUUCGGAGGCCCAGGAUCGACUUGAGUGGAGGAUGACAAAACACCACCAAUUCACAGUCAGCAGUGCUUAUAAGAUGUUCUUCAUGGCUGGAAUCAGGUUUGCUUGUUACAAACCCCUGUGGAAGUCCAAAGCACCCCCACAUUGCAAGUUCUUCAUGUGGCUUGUCAUUCAAAAGAAGUGCCUUACGGCAGAUAAUCUUUAA